GUGGAUUAGAUACCCUGGUAGUCCACGCCCUAAACGAUGCGAACUAGGUGUUGGAGAAGGAGACUUCUUUAGUACCGUAGCUAACGCGUGAAGUUCGCCGCCUGGGGAGUACGGUCGCAAGAUUAAAACUCAAAGGAAUUGACGGGGACCCGCACAAGCGGUGGAUGAUGUGGAUUAAUUCGAUGCAACGCGAAAAACCUUACCUACCCUUGACAUGCCAGGAAUCCCGGAGAGAUUUGGGAGUGCUCGAAAGAGAGCCUGGACACCGGUGCUGCAUGGCUGUCGUCAACG
rnacentral:rRNA from 1 species